rnacentral:rRNA from 1 species
CCCUACGGGGGGCAGCAGUCGGGAAUAUUGCGCAAUGGAGGAAACUCUGACGCAGUGACGCCGCGUAUAGGAAGAAGGUUUUCGGAUUGUAAACUAUUGUCGUGAGGGAAGAAGAUGACAGUACCUCAGGAGGAAGCUCCGGCUAACUAUGCGCCAGCAGCCGCGGUAAUACGUAGGGGGCAAGCGUUAUCCGGAUUUACUGGGUGUAAAGGGAGCGUAGACGGCAGCGCAAGUCUGGAGUGAAAUGCCGGGGCCCAACCCCGGAACUGCUUUGGAAACUGUGCAGCUCGAGGGCAGGAGAGGUA